GACGAACGCUGGCGGCGUGCUUAACACAUGCAAGUCGAGCGGUAAGGCCCUUUCGGGGGUACGACGAGCGGCGAACGGGUGAGUAACACGUGGGUGACCUGCCCUCAGCUCUGGGAGUAAGCCUGGGAAACCGGGGUACUAACACCGGAUAUGACUCCAUGACGCAUGUUGUGGGGUGGAAAGCCUUGUGCGGCUGAGGAUGGGCCCGCGGCCUAUCAGCUUGUUGGUGGGGUGAUGGCCUACCAAGGCGACGACGGGUAGCCGGCCUGAGAGGGCGACCGGCCACACUGGGACUGAGACACGGCCCAGACUCCUACGGGAGGCAGCAGUGGGGAAUCUUGCGCAAUGGGCGAAAGCCUGACGCAGCGACGCCGCGUGAGGGAUGACGGCCU
rnacentral:rRNA from 1 species